UGAAAAGAAUCUUUUUUAGAAGUGAAAAGAACAUGAAAUUUGAUAUUAAUAACUUGUUGAAGUUUUGUCUUAUAAAGACAGAAUGCCAAUUUACCUUUUGUAUCAUGGACUAGCAAGUUUAUUUUUGCAGCAAGCUUAAGUUAAAAAAACGUAGGCUUAGUUAACACAAGUAUAGAAACAAAAAAGUUGCAAGAAUAAAACCCGAAACCAAUUGAUUUAGCCAUGAGCAGGCCAAAAAUAUAAUAAAUUAUAUAUCAGGGCCGUAUUCUUAGUUGUUGCAAAAACUUGAAAUGACUUGUGGUUAGGGGUGAAAGGUCAAACAAAAUUGGUAAUAGCUGGUUUCUUGCGAAAAAUAUUUAAGUAUUGCGUAAAAAAAGUUUAUAAAAGGUAGA
rnacentral:rRNA from 1 species